rnacentral:rRNA from 1 species
AGAGUUUGAUCAUGGCUCAGGACGAACGCUGGCGGCGUGCUUAACACAUGCAAGUCGAACGAUGAAGCUGGAGCUUGCUCUAGCGGAUUAGUGGCGAACGGGUGAGUAACACGUGAGCAAUCUGCCCUUGACUCUGGGAUAACUGCGGGAAACUGUAGCUAAUACCGGAUACUUUCACCGGGGGGCAUCCUCUGGUGAUGAAAGAAUUUCGGUCAAGGAUGAGCUCGCGGCCUAUCAGCUUGUUGGUGAGGUAACGGCUCACCAAGGCGACGACGGGUAACCGGCCUGAGAGGGUGACCGGUCACACUGGGACUGAGACACGGCCCAGACUCCUACGGGAGGCAGCAGUGGGGAAUAUUGCACAAUGGGCGCAAGCCUGAUGCAGCAACGCCGCGUGAGGGAUGAAGGCCUUCGGGUUGUAAACCUCUUUUAGCAGGGAGGAAGCGAAAGUGACGGUACCUGCAGAAAAAGCACCGGCUAACUACGUGCCAGCAGCCGCGGUAAUACGUAGGGUGCAAGCGUUGUCCGGAAUUAUUGGGCGUAAAGAGCUCGUAGGCGGUUUGUCACGUCUGCUGUGAAAAUCCAAGGCUCAACCUUGGACUUGCAGUGGGUACGGGCAGGCUAGAGUGCGGUAGGGGAGAUGGGAAUUCCUGGUGUAGCGGUGGAAUGCGCAGAUAUCAGGAGGAACACCAAUGGCGAAGGCACAUCUCUGGGCCGUAACUGACGCUGAGGAGCGAAAGCGUGGGGAGCAAACAGGAUUAGAUACCCUGGUAGUCCACGCCGUAAACGGUGGGUGCUAGCUGUGGGCCACAUUCCACGUGGUCCGUAACGAAGUUAACACAUUAAGCACCCCGCCUGGGGAGUACGGCCGCAAGGCUAAAACUCAAAGGAAUUGACGGGGGCCCGCACAAGCGGCGGAGCAUGCGGAUUAAUUCGAUGCAACGCGAAGAACCUUACCAAGGCUUGACAUGUAGAGGAAAAGUGCAGAGAUGCACUCCCCGCAAGGUCUCUACACAGGUGGUGCAUGGUUGUCGUCAGCUCGUGUCGUGAGAUGUUGGGUUAAGUCCCGCAACGAGCGCAACCCUCGUCCUAUGUUGCCAGCACGUUAUGGUGGGAACUCAUGGGAUACUGCCGGGGUCAACUCGGAGGAAGGUGGGGAUGACGUCAAAUCAUCAUGCCCCUUAUGUCUUGGGCUUCACACAUGCUACAAUGGCCGGUACAAAGGGCUGCGAUGCCGUGAGGUGGAGCGAAUCCUUGUUAAAGCCGGUCUCAGUUCGGAUCGGGGUCUGCAACUCGACCCCGUGAAGUCGGAGUCGCUAGUAAUCGCAGAUCAGCAACGCUGCGGUGAAUACGUUCCCGGGCCUUGUACACACCGCCCGUCACGUCAUGAAAGUCGGUAACACCCGAAGCCCGUGGCCUAACCCCUUGUGGGAGGGAGCGGUCGAAGGU